AUUGAACGCUGGCGGCAUGCUUUACACAUGCAAGUCGAACGGUAACGCGGGGCAACCUGGCGACGAGUGGCGAACGGGUGAGUAAUGCAUCGGAACGUGCCCGGUAGUGGGGGAUAACUGCUCGAAAGAGCAGCUAAUACCGCAUACGACCUGAGGGUGAAAGGGGGGGAUCGCAAGACCUCUCGCUAUUGGAGCGGCCGAUGUCGGAUUAGCUAGUUGGUGGGGUAAGGGCCCACCAAGGCAACGAUCCGUAGCUGGUCUGAGAGGACGACCAGCCACACUGGGACUGAGACACGGCCCAGACUCCUACGGGAGGCAGCAGUGGGGAAUUUUGGACAAUGGACGCAAGUCUGAUCCAGCCAUGCCGCGUGCGGGAAGAGGGCCUUCGGGUUGUAAACCGCUUUUGUCAGAGAAGAAAUCUUCUGGGUUAAUACCCCGGGAGGAUGACGGUAUCUGAAGAAUAAGCACCGGCUAACUACGUGCCAGCAGCCGCCGUAACAC
rnacentral:rRNA from 1 species